UUGCUGGCAGUGGCAGCAGUGGGGUAAAGUGGGUAAAGUGGUAAAGCGGGGAAAGUGUCAAGUUCGUAGAGUGGGGCGCGAUUCCGACCGCGGUUACCCUGGGUCAGGACUUCCGCGACGCUCUUCGAUCACGACAAGCGUGGUGCGUGGUUGGGAGCCUCGGGUCGGCUCCUCUGCACGCCAUCGCAUGGCCAACUAUACGAGCGGGCCCGGUGGGCCCGUACGGCCUCCGCGAACCUUCAAGACCAGCAAAGACUCGAACGGCCUGCUGAUCUCGGUGAUCCGGUCGCUGUCGGCCAGCCAGAACAGCGCCGACCGGGACCGCGAGAAGGCCAAGCUCGAGAAGGACUUCAAGCGGAGCGACCAGAAACUGGACGACAUGGUGGCGCAAAACAAGGAAGACCUGACGAGAGCCAUGCAGGCGUUCAGCAAGAUCUCGUCGAGGAUCACCGUGUCGCGGGACAAGAUUCAGUGCAUCAAGGAGAAGCUGACCACUUGCAAAAUACUUCUGCACUGUAAGCGGGACGAACUGAAGAAGCUCUGGCUCGAGGCUGUGGAACACAAGCGCGUUCUCGAGCUUCUUGAAGAAAUCGAGUCACUGGUGGAAGUGCCCGAGAAAGUGGACGCUUUCCUGGAGAAGAGGCAGUACCUGCACGCCACACAGCUCCUGGUUUCUUCCGUGCACCUGGUGGAGGGCAGCCUGGAAGGGGUCGAGGCUCUCAAGGACGUUCGGGCGAAGCUGCUCUUCAAAAAGGAGCGGCUGCACGAGGACCUAGUGGAGGAGCUGCACCGCCAGCUGUACAUGCGUGGGGAGGCCAGGCUCCGCAGGCCCCUGCCUCCCACCCCUCAGCCUUUCCUUGGCACGCUCGGUGAGCUGUUGCGGCUGGACGAAGGGGGCGAACGCCAGGGGCCGCCCUUCCUGGCCAUUCUGGUGCACUGCCUGGCCCUGCUGCAGCGCAUUCCGGACACUCUACAGGUGAUGAAGGAGCGCUGCCAAUCGGAGCUCCUGUCGAUGGUGUGGCGGUCAAGCCAGUUCCUGGUGGACAACAACCGGCCCACGCCGGCCCUGCUGGUGGAGCUGCUGGAGCUGCUCUUUGAGCAGUUCCGCUGGGUGGUGGCGGCCCACGGGGCUGCGCUGGGCAGCAUGCAGGCACUCAUGGCCAGUCAAGGCCUGGAGUACGACGCUGCAGCCUACGGCGUCUCGGACGUCUGGUUUCAUAUGCAGUCUGUGGUGGAGUACAUUGUGGGCAAGUACCUGGAUGUGCACAACAGCAGCGGCGCCCAGCAGGUGGCCGCCCCUGCCUUGACGGACCUGGUGGCGAACAACGACCUGGCGUCGUGCUUCACUCGCCGCAGGAACGCCAAGCCCAAGAAGUUUGCCCUGUUCCGCUUCGACUGCUCCUCGCACGCCAUCAGCAUGAGCACCUACCUCAAAGAGCAGAUGGAGGAGCUCAGGGACGAGAGUGGCUACGUGGAGGUCGAUGACACGGGCCCUGGACUGGUGUGUACUCCGGCCUCGAGGAACGUGACGUACAUCUUCAAGCCACUGAUGGCCUUUGUGGGUGAGAUGGAGGCUGCCCUGGGCCUGCCCAACGGACAACACUGCCAGCUCUAUGGGCACCUGCUGCACUGGGUGGACGUGUUCCUGGCCCAUGUGAACAAUGACCUGGACAACGCCAUCGACGCAGCCACCAAAAGUUUGGAGACAUGGAAAGUGACUUCAGAACCCGAGAUUUUGAAGUCAUUGGGAGUUCUUCGGCCUUUGCUUCAGAGCACCGUGUGCGUGGACCAUAGCCUGCAGGGCCUGGAGGAACUGAUGCAGGCCCUGCCCAUGUAUGUGGAGCACUUUCUGGGCCUCGCAUGCACCAUUCUGCACAACUACAAGGAGACGAGCCAGGUGGCUUACCGAGGCAUUGUUCAGCCUGAGUCUGAGGAUAAGCGGAUCAUCAGUGCCACCUGGGCCAAGGAUGAGGACAUCAGCCGAUUCCUCAUGUCUCUGCCCAACUGGGCCAACCUGCAGCAGCCCAAGGAGAGCGACGUGCAGGAGUCGCCCGAGGAGGUGCGGCUGCGCAACAAGAAGGAGUCCGAGAUCCUGAUUGGGAACCUGGCCAGUGGCACGCUCAUCCCCCAGCACGAGAUCCUGGCAGAUGUGGCCCAGCUGCGUGUGCUUGCACAACUGCACGAGAGCCUGGAAUGGCUGAGCGGGCGUGUGCAGCGUGUGGCGGCCUCCCGACCCCAGGACACGGCGGCACAGGCACUGGGCGAGCUGGCCAGGGACUUCCAGGACGUAGCAGACACCUGCCUGCUUGUGCUGCACCUCGAGGUGCGCGUCCACUGCUUCUACUACCUGCUGCCCGUCACGAUACAGGGCAACUUUGCCAGUGGAGUGGACAGCCAGGAACCCGACCCCGAGGUGAUAAAGCUCACCAAGGACCUGUCAAGCAUGGACGAGGCCAUGACCGCCUGCCUGCAACAGAGGAAGCACAGGUACAUCUUUGAGGGUCUGGGCCACCUCAUUGCCUCCAUUCUGAUCAACAGCGCAUCGAGCAUCCAGAAGGUGAACGAGAAUGGCAUCAAGAAGGUUGUCCCAAUUCGUGGCUGCUGAAGAUUCUGAGGACUGUCGAGCUGGAGAGCGACCUACAGCAAAACAGGCGUCUGCCGUAUUCCCCUCCGCUGCUUUGCCACCUCCAGAAUUGCGACAGGCAACAGCAUGACGUGCAGAAACAUCUUUGCAAUGCAGCAGAACCUGACGAGCAUCACAAUGAACCGGGAAGUGGCCCUGGACUAUGCCCGGC
rnacentral:misc_RNA from 1 species